rnacentral:rRNA from 1 species
UAGGGAAUCUUCCACAAUGGACGCAAGUCUGAUGGAGCAACGCCGCGUGAGUGAAGAAGGUUUACGGAUCGUAAAGCUCUGUUGUUGGUGAAGAAGGAUAGAGGCAGUAACUGGUCUUUAUUUGACGGUAAUCAACCAGAAAGUCACGGCUAACUACGUGCCAGCAGCCGCGGUAAUACGUAGGUGGCAAGCGUUGUACGGAUGUAUUGGGCGUAAAGCGAGCGCAGGCGGAAUGAUAAGUCUGAUGUGAAAGCCCACGGCUCAACCGUGGAACUGCAUCGGAAACUGUCAUUCUUGAGUGCAGAAGAGGAGAGUGGAAUUCCAUGUGUAGCGGUGGAAUGCGUAGAUAUAUGGAAGAGCACCAGUGGCGAAGGCGGCUCUCUGGUCUGCAACUGACGCUGAGGCUCGAAAGCAUGGGUAGCGAACAGG